AUUGAACGCUGGCGGCAGGCCUAACACAUGCAAGUCGAGCGAGCGGCGGACGGGUGAGUAAUGUAUGGGGAAUGCCCGAUCGAGGGGGAUAACUACUGGAAACGGUAGCUAAUAACGCAUACUCUCGGAUAACCCAUAUGGGAUUAGCUAGUAGGUGGGGUAAAGGCUCACAAAGGCAACGAUCCGUAGCUGGUUUGAGAGGACGACCAGCCACACUGGGACUGAGCAACGGCCCAGACUCCUACGGAGGCAGCAGUGGGGAAUUUUGGACAAUGGGGGAAACCCUGAUCCAGCCAGCCCGCGUGUAUGAUGAAGGCCUUCGGGUUGUAAAGUACUUUUGGCAGAGAAGCGGUAUCUGCAGAAUAAGCACCGGCUAACUACGUGCCAGCAGCCGCGGUAAUAC
rnacentral:rRNA from 1 species